rnacentral:rRNA from 1 species
CAGAGGUCCCAAGCGUUGUUCGGAUUCACUGGGCGUAAAGGGUGCGUAGGCGGUCAGGUAAGUCUGAUGUGAAAUCUCUGGGCUUAACCCAGAAAUGGCAUUGGAUACUAUUUGGCUUGAGAGUUGGAGGGGGACUGGAAUUCUUGGUGUAGCAGUGAAAUGCGUAGAUAUCAAGAGGAACACCAGUGGCGAAGGCGAGUCCCUGGACAACUUCUGACGCUGAGGCACGAAAGCUAGGGGAGCAAACAGGAUUAGAUACCCUGGUAGUCCUAGCUGUAAACGGUGCUUAUUUGCUGUAAAAGGAUCGACCCCUUUUGUGGCGUAGCAAACGCGUUAAAAUAAGCCGCCUGGGAAGUACGGUCGCAAGAUUA